rnacentral:rRNA from 1 species
ACGAAAAAUGAAUACCAAGUCUCAAGAGUGAACACGUAAUUCAUUACGAAGUUUAAUUCAUUGAGCAUCAAACUUUUAAAUUGAAGAGUUUGAUCAUGGCUCAGAUUGAACGCUGGCGGCAGGCCUAACACAUGCAAGUCGAACGGUAACAGGAAGCAGCUUGCUGCUUUGCUGACGAGUGGCGGACGGGNNNNNNNNNNNNNNNNNNNNGAGUAAUGUCUGGGAAACUGCCUGAUGGAGGGGGAUAACUACUGGAAACGGUGGCUAAUACCGCAUAACGUCGCAAGACCAAAGAGGGGGACCUUCGGGCCUCUUGCCAUCAGAUGUGCCCAGAUGGGAUUAGCUUGUUGGUGAGGUAACGGCUCACCAAGGCGACGAUCCCUAGCUGGUCUGAGAGGAUGACCAGCCACACUGGAACUGAGACACGGUCCAGACUCCUACGGGAGGCAGCAGUGGGGAAUAUUGCACAAUGGGCGCAAGCCUGAUGCAGCCAUGCCGCGUGUAUGAAGAAGGCCUUCGGGUUGUAAAGUACUUUCAGCGGGGAGGAAGGUGUUGUGGUUAAUAACCGCAGCAAUUGACGUUACCCGCAGAAGAAGCACCGGCUAACUCCGUGCCAGCAGCCGCGGUAAUACGGAGGGUGCAAGCGUUAAUCGGAAUUACUGGGCGUAAAGCGCACGCAGGCGGUCUGUCAAGUCGGAUGUGAAAUCCCCGGGCUCAACCUGGGAACUGCAUUCGAAACUGGCAGGCUUGAGUCUUGUAGAGGGGGGUAGAAUUCCAGGUGUAGCGGUGAAAUGCGUAGAGAUCUGGAGGAAUACCGGUGGCGAAGGCGGCCCCCUGGACAAAGACUGACGCUCAGGUGCGAAAGCGUGGGGAGCAAACAGGAUUAGAUACCCUGGUAGUCCACGCCGUAAACGAUGUCUACUUGGAGGUUGUGCCCUUGAGGCGUGGCUUCCGGAGCUAACGCGUUAAGUAGACCGCCUGGGGAGUACGGCCGCAAGGUUAAAACUCAAAUGAAUUGACGGGGGCCCGCACAAGCGGUGGAGCAUGUGGUUUAAUUCGAUGCAACGCGAAGAACCUUACCUGGUCUUGACAUCCACGGAAGUUUUCAGAGAUGAGAAUGUGCCUUCGGGAACCGUGAGACAGGUGCUGCAUGGCUGUCGUCAGCUCGUGUUGUGAAAUGUUGGGUUAAGUCCCGCAACGAGCGCAACCCUUAUCCUUUGUUGCCAGCGGUCCGGCCGGGAACUCAAAGGAGACUGCCAGUGAUAAACUGGAGGAAGGUGGGGAUGACGUCAAGUCAUCAUGGCCCUUACGACCAGGGCUACACACGUGCUACAAUGGCGCAUACAAAGAGAAGCGACCUCGCGAGAGCAAGCGGACCUCAUAAAGUGCGUCGUAGUCCGGAUUGGAGUCUGCAACUCGACUCCAUGAAGUCGGAAUCGCUAGUAAUCGUGGAUCAGAAUGCCACGGUGAAUACGUUCCCGGGCCUUGUACACACCGCCCGUCACACCAUGGGAGUGGGUUGCAAAAGAAGUAGGUAGCUUAACCUUCGGGAGGGCGCUUACCACUUUGUGAUUCAUGACUGGGGUGAAGUCGUAACAAGGUAACCGUAGGGGAACCUGCGGUUGGAUCACCUCCUUACCUUAAAGAANNNNNNNNNNNNNNNNNNNNUGCAGUGCUCACACAGAUUGUCUGAUGAAAA